AACGAACGCUGGCGGCAUGCCUAACACAUGCAAGUCGAACGAGACCUUCGUGUCUUUUGGCGCUCGUCUGCUUACCGCCUGGUGACCUACCCUUAUGUUCGGUAUCACUCCCUUUAAGGUGUGUCCAUACCGCUUAAUCUCAUCCGACAUAAGAUGUAUUGCCUGUGGAUGGGCCCGCGUUGGAUUCGCUGGUUGGGAUGGUACAAGCCUACCAUGGCGUUGAUGCAUAGCUGGUCUGAGAGGAUGAUCAGCCACACUGGGACUGAGACACGGCCCAGACGCCUACGAGAGGCAGCAGUGGGGAAUAUGGGACAAGGGGCGAAAGCCUGAUCCAGCAAUGCCGCGAGAGUGAUGAAGGCCUUAGGGUUGUAAAGCUCUUUUACCCGGGAUGAUAAUGACAGUACCGGGAGAAUAAGCUCCGGCUAACUCCGU
rnacentral:rRNA from 1 species